GACGAACGCUGGCGGCGUGCCUAAUACAUGCAAGUCGAACGCAGUGGGGACGGGUGAGUAACACGUGGGUAACCUCCCAUCAGAGGGGAUAACACUUGGAAACCAGUGCUAAACCGAUACUGCAUUAUGGACCCGCGGUGCAUUAGCGAGUUGGUGAGGUAACGGCUCACCAAGGCAACCAUGCAUAGCCGACCUGGGAGGGUGAUAGGCCACACUGGGACUGAGACACGGCCCAGACUCCUACGGGAGGCAGCAUUAGGGAAUCUUCGGCAAUGGACGAAAGUCUGACCGAGCAACGCCGCGUGAGUGAAGAAGGUUUUCGGAUCGUAAAACUCUGUUGUUAGAGAAGCGGUAUCUAACCAGAAAGCCACGGCUAACUACGUGCCAGCAGCCGCGGUAAUUC
rnacentral:rRNA from 1 species